UCGAGAAUCUUCCGCAAUGGGCGAAAGCCUGACGGAGCGAUGCCGCGUGAGGGAUGAAGGCCUUCGGGUCGUAAACCUCUGUCGCCCGGGACGAAACCAUGACGGUACCGGGAGAGGAAGCUACGGCUAACUACGUGCCAGCAGCCGCGGUAAUACGUAGGUAGCGAGCGUUAUUCGGAUUUACUGGGCGUAAAGGGUCCGCAGGGGGUUUGCCAAGUCUGGCGUGAAAGCCUACGGCUCAACCGUGGAACUGCGCCGGAUACUGGCGAGCUUGAGUGCGUGAGGGGUGAACGGAACUCCAGGUGUAGCGGUGGAAUGCGUAGAUAUCUGGAAGAACGCCGAUGGCGAAAGCGGUUCACUGGCGCGCAACUGACCCUCAGGGACGAAAGUGUGGGUAGCAAACAGG
rnacentral:rRNA from 1 species